CCUACGGGGGGCAGCAGUGGGGAAUAUUGGACAAUGGGCGAAAGCCUGAUCCAGCCAUGCCGCGUGUGUGAAGAAGGCCUUCGGGUUGUAAAGCACUUUCAGUGGGGAAGAAAGCCUUGGGGCUAAUACCCUCGAGGAAGGACAUCACCCACAGAAGAAGCACCGGCUAACUCCGUGCCAGCAGCCGCGGUAAUACGGAGGGUGCGAGCGUUAAUCGGAAUUACUGGGCGGAAAGCGCGCGUAGGCGGUCUGAUAAGCCGGUUGUGAAAGCCCCGGGCUCAACCUGGGAACGGCAUCCGGAACUGUCAGGCUAGAGUGCAGGAGAGGAAGGUAGAAUUCCCGGUGUAGCGGUGAAAUGCGUAGAGAUCGGGAGGAAUACCAGUGGCGAAGGCGGCCUUCUGGACUGACACUGACGCUGAGGUGCGAAAGCGUGGGUAGCAAACAGGAUUAGAUACCCGAGUAGUC
rnacentral:rRNA from 1 species